GUGGGGAAUAUUGGACAAUGGGGGGAACCCUGAUCCAGCCAUGCCGCGUGUGUGAAGAAGGCCUUUUGGUUGUAAAGCACUUUAAGCGAGGAGGAGGCUACCGAGAUUAAUACUCUUGGAUAGUGGACGUUACUCGCAGAAUAAGCACCGGCUAACUCUGUGCCAGCAGCCGCGGUAAUACAGAGGGUGCAAGCGUUAAUCGGAUUUACUGGGCGUAAAGCGCGCGUAGGUGGCCAAUUAAGUCAAAUGUGAAAUCCCCGAGCUUAACUUGGGAAUUGCAUUCGAUACUGGUUGGCUAGAGUAUGGGAGAGGAUGGUAGAAUUCCAGGUGUAGGCGUGAAAUGCGUAGAGAUCUGGGAGAAUACCGAUGGCGAAGGCAGCCAUCUGGCCUAAUACUGACACUGAGGUGCGAAAGCAUGGGGAGCAAACAGGAUUAGAAACCCUUGUAGUCC
rnacentral:rRNA from 1 species